UACGUAGGGUGCAAGCAUUAAUCGGAUUUAUUGGGCGUAAAGGGCGCGUAGGCGGGGAGGCCAGUCAGAUGUGAAAUCCCGGAGCUCAACUCCGGAACAGCAUUUGAAACUACCUCUCUCGAGGGUAGGCGGAGAAAACGGAAUUCCACAAGUAGCGGUGAAAUGCGUAGAUAUGUGGAAGAACACCAGUGGCGAAGGCGGUUUUCUAGCUUAUACCUGACGCUGAGGCGCGAAAGCAAGGGGAGCAAACAGG
rnacentral:rRNA from 1 species